CCAAUUUAAUCCAAAUCUCAACCCAUGUGCACGAUGAUUGUUUGUCUUUGGGGUGACGUUUGUUCGUGAGUACACCUUGCGUGUCUGUAAUGAGUAAAUAGUUCACCCCGCCAUUGUUAACAAAAUCCUUUUUGUAUUUACAUGGCAUCCUGUCUUGCUUAAUAAUAAAGUAUGA
rnacentral:misc_RNA from 1 species